rnacentral:lncRNA from 1 species
UCCAAUCCAAACAAAUAAUGAUUUUUGAAAACCCAACUUUAAAUUCAAAGCUUUCAAGCUUUUUAAUGGCUAUCAACGGUGGAAAAUAUAUGGAAGAACGGAUGAAGAUGAAGAUGAAGAACAUAAAUCUCCUUUCCAUUUCAAUAUCUUCUCCUAAAUCUAUUCAGAAUAUUCACGCCAAAUCUGUUCAGAAUAUUCUUCUCCUAAAA